CGGUGUACGACGCAGAUGACAUCCUCGACGACUACGCGACCGCCGGGGAAAUGGUGUCGGUACAGCCGGAAACGUCCUCCUCGAACAACGUGGUGCGCCCUCGUUUUUCCUCUUCAUUACCUGUCAGAAGUCAUACUGAAUUUGAACAUAAAAUGGAGAUGAGGAUAAAGAGCAUAAUCUCAAGGUUGGAGAAGAUCUCCAAAGAGAAGGCCGAGCUGCGCUUGACGCCCACCGAUGAUGAUUUCUCAGCGAUAGGCAACAACUUUCAGACAUCAUCUCUAGUCGAUCCAGAUAUUACUUCGUCUGCACUUGAAUUAAAAUUAAAAAAAUUACUGAGUCAGCUUGUGGGGGAUGAGAACGAGGGCAAGCUGAUAGCGAUCACGGGGAUGGGGGGAAUCGGAAAGACUACUCUUGCUAAAGUUAUAUUCAAUGAUGGAUUCAUCGAAGCCAGUUUUCGCAUGAAGAUUUGGAUCUGCGUUUCAAAGUACUUUAACCAUGUCAAGAUUUUGAAAGAAAUCAUAGCGCAUGCAGAUGGGAACCCCCGGGUUAGUGACAGUAAGGAACAGCUGGCCUUGAUCCUAAGCAGCCUCAUUAAAGACAAGAAAAUUUUUCUGGUUCUGGAUGACGUCUGGACGACAGAGGUAUGGAAAGAUCUACUCCAAGGGCCCUUGCAAGGCGCCGCUGCUGGCAGCAGGGUGAUAAUAACGACUCGAUUCGAGUCCGUGGCGAACCAGGUGGGGGCGUCGCUCAUUCACCAUGCCCAAAGAAUGACUGGUUUGGAGGGCUUCCACUUGUUAUACAAGAUGGCGUUCAGAAACGGGGAGCAAGAGCAGUGGGAAGCCCUGCAAGAUGUCGGCAUUAAAAUUGCCGAGCGAUGCAAGGGCGUCCCUUUAGCAAUAAAGACGAUCGGAGGGGUUCUGAGACGCAAGGAUAAGAACGUACGAGAGUGGGAGGAAAUACUCGAAGAUCCGAUAUGGUCUGCAUCCAUCUUCCCAGACGAGGAGGAAAGCAUUAUGAAGCCUUUGUAUUUGUCUUACAGGGAUCUGCCCGCAAGCAUCAAGCAGUGUUUUCUGUACCUCUCGCUGUUCCCCGAGGACUUCGUGUUCGUGCGUCCCAGAGUUGUCUCAUACUGGGUUGCGGAGGGUUUCCUGAAACCAGAGGGCACUUUGACCAUGGAAGACGUAGGAACGAGGUAUUUCGAUGAGCUGACCAGUAGAGGUCUUCUGCAACCACAGCUCUCAGCGAUAGAGGGGGCUCUGUGCAAGAUGCACGACAUUGUGCGUUCUCUCUGUCAGUAUCUAGCGGAAGGCGAAUGCCUCUUCGGCGAGAUGCCGAGACCGCAAGGCAGGUCCGGAAAGCUCCGCCGGCUGUCAAUGGUGGACUGUGAUUUUGCCAUAGACAUCCAUCUUUUGAAAAGAGAACAACGCCUGAGGACACUCCUUAUUCGUAGCAACCCAUGCGGAGGGGUAGUUCUGAAACAGGAUGUUGUUGAAGCUCUUACCUAUCUGAGAGUUUUAGAUGUCAGUGAUACGCCCAUUGAGGAACUGCCGCACUUCAUCACGAGGCUUCGACACCUGAGGUACCUCAACGUCUCUGGGACUCCCAUUGGGGCGUUGCCAGAGUCGAUAGGCGACAUGAAAAGCCUUCAAUUCCUAUUCUUGAAGAACUGCCGAAACAUCUCGUCUCUUCCAGAUGGCAUAACGAAGUUGAGAAAUCUGAGAUCCCUUCAGGUGAAUGAAGGAACUGACAUCGACCAGUUGCCAAGGGGAAUCGGCAGACUGCAUCAGCUGCAAGGUCUGAAUGAGUUUGUUGUGGACAAGCAGGAGGGAAGUCUGCGAGAUUUGGGGCCUCUUUCAAACUUGAGACUGCUGGUGAUCACCAAAUUGGAGAGAGUCUCAGAAAGAACGCAAGCCAGAAGUGCUUUCCUCGAGAAUAAAACCUCAAUAAACUACAUAAGCUUCGAGUGGUCCUUCCCUCCUGUGGAAACUACGACUGCUGACCGGAUAAUGAACAUGCCUGAUAUAUUUGAUGAGCUAUGCCCCUCACCCUCCCUGCAGAUUCUCAACGUCGAGGGAUACCUUGGUCUCACCCUCCCUCGUUGGAUGUGGCCCUCGUCGUCGUCUGGCGUCUCUCCCAUCCAAAAUCUCACUCAUCUAACAAUGACCAGGUGCAUGAAUUUCUCUCAGAUUCCUCCGCUCGGACUUCUCCCUCAUCUGAAGGUUCUCGGGCUCGAUUAUUGUCCCCAGCUCGUAAGCAUCGGAACCGAGCUCGCAAGCCCAUCUGUUUCUCCACAUCAAUCUUCCUCAACCUCUUCUUCCACUGCAACUGGUGGCCCACCUGCUAUUCUGUUCCCCAAGCUGGAAUCUUUCUCUCUCGUAGAGAUGUCAAACCUUGAAACAUGGUCCUGGAAAACAGACAACAGAACCAGCAUGCUGGCUUUUCCUUCACUCAAAGUUCUGUACCUAGACGGCUGCCCCAAAUUGAGAUGCGUCCCUGAUAUCUCUUGGAGACGGCUCGAGCACAUAUUCGUCUACAAUUGCCCUUCAAUUCUGGAGGUCGGUGGCGUUACUGCUCCGGAAUCAUUGUCUGUAAGAGAUGACAGCUCGGAGGACGUCCCGCCAUGGUUAGAUCAGGUCUGUGUCAAUCCCACGGAUGAGGUGUCAAUCCUUUUCCUCCAUGUCAGGUUGAACCUGCUCAAGAAAAUUUUACAACAGAGAGAGGCGGAUGUCAACAACCCAGAUGCCGGCUGGAAUGUCGUCAAACGAUUCCCUCGCGCUUACGUUGUCGCAAGGGAUGAUGAAACUAUGUUCUUCUCCUACACCAAACACAAAUCACUAUUCCACACCAGCGUGCGGCUCGCCUAAGGUGAGGGCAUCUAUUGGGGCAGCAGUAAAGCAGAAUGGAUAGGACACUGCGAAUGAGAAGCCGUUCCCAUUGAUGAGGCGUCGUUCCUUCUCAAUGCCAGGUUGAGUCUGCACAGGAAGGUGGCUACAUCGGUGUUUGCUACGCUGGUGGAAUAAUGGGGAUCAAAGAAGUGGGCAAGCACCUCCACAUCACCAGCACAUCGGCCCAAGUCCAUUACGCCAUAACUUUCUUCUUUAGCUAUUUCCUUUUCUAAUCAUCCAAGUGGUUAUCAAUAACUUUGUGUUGCCCUAAGGACGAUUAGACAGAGGUGAACGAAGUUUUGAGGUUUACCUCGUAUUGCUCCGCAAGGAGAGGCCGAGGGGGUCAGCUACCCAUCGCCACCGCCGCCACCCCCCGUCACACAGUCACCGCCAUUCGCCGGCUGCCCCUUAUCGCCCGUCGCCGUCACCGCCCGCUGCCACCGAUCCCCCGUCGCCACUGUCGCCGUCACCAUCUGCUGCCAUCCUCUGCCCCGUCACUGUCGCCGCCGUCCGCCAUCACCAUCCGCUGCCGCGGCCAGCAUCCCUACCUCCGCCUCCGGUUAUGCCCCCGGUUCGUAGCAUCAUGAACCGCUGCACUGACCCGGUUCCACCCGGCCAGACCGCCCACAUCUGUCCGGCCCAACCCAGCUCGAACCCCUCGGUCCGAGCAAACUUGCCGCCCGUCCGAGCCACUGUGGAGCAUUUGGUUCGAGUCGGUUCGCCUCGCCGGGUUCGAGCCAUUCGGAUAAUCUGGUCCACGCCAGCCGCCUCAUCUGGUUCAAACCAGUCUCCCUCCCCCCCCCCCUUCCACCCCAAAAGACCAGGUUAGCAGGGUCAACAGUCAACG
rnacentral:lncRNA from 1 species